rnacentral:ncRNA from 1 species
AGAGGUAAGUUGGAUCAGGCGGCCUGAAUUAAGAGGGCGCGGCCGGGCUGAAUAAUCAGCAGCGGUAUCUUUAAGACCGUGGGACUCUG